rnacentral:lncRNA from 1 species
GUAACUGCUUCCAAUUUCCAAAAAAAAUCCCAAUUGUGUCGAACUUUCCAUUUUUGAAAUAGUUACGGAAUCUCCAUGAAUAGGAUCAAACCCUAUUCCAUGGUAUUUACAUGAGGUUCCUCUUUAAGAAAGUCCCCGAGAGGGCUUAGUUGAUCCAUGAUUUAUCUUUCAUCUUUCGUUUCCUUUUCGUUUGUUUCGAGAAAUCUAUCGAUCAAUUCCAAUUCUUUCUUUUUCUCUUGAUUCUUUUCC